rnacentral:rRNA from 1 species
GACGAACGCUGGCGGCGUGCUUAACACAUGCAAGUCGAACGGAAAGGCCUCUUUUGGGGGGUACUCGAGUGGCGAACGGGUGAGUAACACGUGAGUAACCUGCCCUUGACUUUGGGAUAACUUCAGGAAACUGGGGCUAAUACCGGAUAGGAGCUCCUGCUGCAUGGUGGGGGUUGGAAAGUUUCGGCGGUUGGGGAUGGACUCGCGGCUUAUCAGCUUGUUGGUGGGGUAGUGGCUUACCAAGGCUUUGACGGGUAGCCGGCCUGAGAGGGUGACCGGCCACAUUGGGACUGAGAUACGGCCCAGACACCUACAGGAGGCAGCAGUGGGGAAUAUUGCACAAUGGGUGGAAGCCUGAUGCAGCAAAGCCGUGUGCGGGAUGACGGACUUCGGGUUGGAAACCGCUUUCGCUCAUGACGAAGCUUUGUGUGACGGUAGUGGGUAAAGAAGCACCGGCUAACUACGUG